rnacentral:rRNA from 1 species
AUAGCUGAUUGCACCAACAAAUGGUUGAUGCAAUAUUGACUCUGUCAAAUAAAAUUCUAGGUAGAAUUAUGAUAAUGACAUUGUCUGCCUAUAUGUCUUGACCAAAUUACGUGCCAGCAGUCGCGGUAAUACGUAGAAGACUAGUGUUAUUCAUCUUUAAUAGGUUUAAAGGGUACCUAGACGGUAAAUCAAGCCUUCACAGGGACUAAUUUACUAGAGUUACUUACGAGGGGGUAUUAAAGUACUGCAGGUGUAGAGAUGAAAUUCUGUCAUACCUCUUUUCAAAAGAAAAAUUAUGGCACAGGUAUAGGUGAAAGCAUCCCCUUAUGUGAUAACUGACGUUGAAGGACGAAGGCUUUGUGUCGCGAACAGGAUUAGAUACCCCAGUAGUCAAAGCAGAAAAUGAUGAAUGUCAUAGAUUAGAUAUAUAGUUUAUUCUAUAAAUGAAAAUGUAAGCAUUCCACCUCAAGAGUAAUUUGGCAACAUUGGAACUGAAAUCAUUAGACCGUUUCUGAAACCAGUAGUGAAGUAUGUUGUUUAAUUUGAUGAUCCGCAAAAAACCUUACCACAAUUUGAAUAUUUGUAUCUAUCUUUUUUUCGUAAAGAAAUAAAAAGCUAAUAUAUUUACAAGCGUUGCACGGCUGUCUUCAGUUAAUGUCGCGAGACUUUGGUUAGUUCCAUUUAAUUAACGUAAACCCUUACUUUAUUUUUAUAUGAAGUAGUUCCCCGCUAUAUUGGAUAUGAUAACAGGGACUAGGACAAG